AUGACCAUCAAAAACCGUAAUAGGUGCCACAGCUUUAAGCUGUUGGGAUGGUUACACUGUGUGUAAAGUCCUGAACAGAGCCCCCAAUAAUGUUCUUUGUUGUCACCCUGGGGAUUUGAGCAUCGUGUCCCGUAGUAUGGUUUGGUAUGUCAU